GUCCACGCUGUAACGAUGAACACUAGAUGUCGGGAGGGUUCCUUCCGGUGUCGUCGCUAACGCAGUAAGUGUUCCGCCUGGGAGUACGCUCGCAAGGGUGAACUCAAAGGAAUUGACGGUGGCCCGCACAAGCGGUGGAGCAUGUGGUUUAAUUCGAUGCAACGCGAAGAACCUUACCUGGACUUGACAUGGGAAUGACAGCUUGAGAGAUCGAGUUUUCUCUUCGGAGACAUUCCGCACAGGUGCUGCAUGGCUGUCGU
rnacentral:rRNA from 1 species